UGAAGUCUGAAGAACCACCAAAAUCACA
rnacentral:sRNA from 1 species